rnacentral:lncRNA from 1 species
UGCGGUUUUCUUGUACUGAUAUUUACAAGUAAAACAAGCAAAGAAGAAGAACAUGCCCUGGCAGAAGAUGUCAAGCAAAGUGAAGAACCUGCUUUGAUUGAAGUCAAAAAUCAGAAACUCCUCAAAGCACAGCAGACAAAGAAUCAGUACAAGGAAACCGCACUACAAACUAGAGCUGACAGCUGGCACAACAAAGCAUUGCAUGGAAAGUUCCUUGACAAAACUGAAGGAAAAGCUGAUAAGGAGAAGACCUUUCUAUGGCUCACGAAUGGGACCCUGAAGAAGGAGACAGAAGGCCUGAUCCUUGCAGCCCAGGAGCAAGCCAUCAGGACAAAGGCAAUUCAGGCCAAGAUCGAAAAAUCAGCUGAUGACCCAAAAUGCAGACUGUGCAAGGAAACUGACGAAACCAUAGAUCAUAUCCUCAGCUGCUGUAAGAAAAUUGCACAGACAGACUACAAACUGAGGCACAACUAUGUGGCCCAAAGGAUUCCUUGGAACUUAUGCCUCAAGUACCACCUCCCAGCAGCAAAGAACUGGUGGGAUCACAAACCUGCAAAAGUAUUGGAAAAUGAGCACGCAAAGAUACGGUGGGACUUCCAAAUCCAGACUGACAACACACCAGACAUCACAGUUGUGGAAAAGAAAAAGGUUUGGAUCAUUGAUGUUGCCAUCCCAGGUGACAGUCGCAUUGACGAAAAACAACAGGAAAAACUCAGCCGCUAUCAGGACCUCAAGAUUGAACUUCAAAGACUCUGGCAGAAACUAGUACAGGUGGUCCCGGUGGUGAUCGGCACAUUGGGUGCCGUGUCAAAAGAUCUCAGCCAGCAUUUGGAAACAAUAGACACUGACAAAAUUACAAUCUUCCAACUGCAAAAGGCCACCCUACUGGGAUCUGCACGCAUCAUCCGAAAAUACAUCACAUAGUCCUAGACACUUGGGAAGUGUUCGACUUGUGAUUUUGUGAUACCAAAUCCAGCAUGUCUAUCUUGUUUGCUGUGUCAUAAUAAAAUAAUAAAUUUUAUUUAUAUACCACUCUAUCUCUCCGAAGGGACUCAGGGCGGUUUCCAACACAGCUAAAACAUUCAACUACCAGUACAAAACAUAUAAAACAAUCAUAAUAAAAUAUUGACAUAAUUAUUAUCAGCCAACAUGCCAAUGCCUUCAAUCAAGAAACAGCAUCCUAAGAUCCACAGAGAUACUUGCAGGGACACCUCAGCAAGCAAGAGUCCAAAAGUAGCAGGCUAAAAC